UGGAUUAGGCAUGCAAGUCGUACGAACCUUCGGGUUAGUGGCGAACGGGUGAGUAACACGUGGGUAACCUGCCUCGUAGUGGGGAAUAACUCGCCGAAAGGCGAGCUAAUACCGCAUAACACCCCCGGUGAGAUUCCGGGUGGUAAAAGCUCCGGCGCUACGAGAGGGGCCCGCGGCCGAUUAGCUAGUUGGUGGGGUAAUGGCCUACCAAGGCGACGAUCGGUAGCUGGUCUGAGAGGAUGGCCAGCCACACUGGGACUGAGACACUGCCCAGACUCCUACGGGAGGCUGCAGUCGAGAAUCUUGGGCAAUGCGCGAAAGCGUGACCCAGCAAUGCCGCGUGCAGGAUGAAGGCCUUCGGGUUGUAAACUGCUGUCACCCGGGACGAAGAAUUGACGGUACCGGGAGAGGAAGCCACGGCUAACUACGUGCCAGCAGCCGCGGUA
rnacentral:rRNA from 1 species